rnacentral:rRNA from 1 species
UACGUAGGCAGCAAGCGUUGUUCGGAGUUACUGGGCGUAAAGAGUAUGUAGGCGGUUGCGUAAGUUCGGUGUGAAAUCUCCCGGCUUAACUGGGAGGGUGCGCCGAAAACUGCGUGGCUUGAGUGCGGGAGAGGAGAGCGGAAUUCCUGGUGUAGCGGUGAAAUGCGUAGAUAUCAGGAGGAACACCGGCGGUGUAGACGGCUCGUCUGGACCGUUACUGACGCUGAGAUACGAAAGCGUGGGUAGCAAACAGG